rnacentral:misc_RNA from 1 species
AACGCACAUUGCGCCCCCUGGUAUUCCGGGGGGCAUGCCUGUCCGAGCGUCAUUGCUGCCCUCAAGCACGGCUUGUGUGUUGGGCCCCGUCCCCCGGUCCCGGGGGACGGGCCCGAAAGGCAGCGGCGGCACCGCGUCCGGUCCUCGAGCGUAUGGGGCUUUGUCACCCGCUCUGUAGGCCCGGCCGGCGCCUGCCGAUCAACCCAUUUUUAUCCAGGUUGACCUCGGAUCAGGUAGGGAUACCCGCUGAACUUAA